UACGUAGGGGGCGAGCGUUGUCCGGAAUUAUUGGGCGUAAAGAGCGUGUAGGCGGUUCGGUAAGUCUGUCGUGAAAACCUGAGGCUCAACCUCGGGCGUGCGAUGGAUACUGCCGGGCUAGAGGAUGGUAGAGGCGAGUGGAAUUCCAGGUGUAGCGGUGAAAUGCGCAGAUAUCAGGAGGAACACCGGUGGCGAAGGCGGUUCUCUGGGAAUGACCUGACGCUGAGGAGCGAAAGUGUGGGGAGCGAACAGG
rnacentral:rRNA from 1 species